CCGAACCAAAAUUACAAGUGUUUACACACUGAAUAAAUGCUGCAGAAAGAAAGUUCCCGUGUCUCGCUUCUCAACAUCGCAACAAAACAAAAAGAGCCGCAGCAGCACGGGGAGAGCAACAGUCAGCUGGAAAAAGUCCGACACAGAGAGAGGAGACGAGAGGACAGGGAAGCCAGGAUGUAGUUUUGUCACCUAGAGUUCUUUAGUGUGCUUGCAUAACUGCAGUGUGAAACCAAAACUUACCGGAUCAAAUCCAAAAACAGUUAACCUUGGUUUGGACUUGCAGGUGUGAAAGCUCACUCUUCUGUGAUGAACUGAACCUUAUUUGCGCAAAGAAUAAAGAAUUAAAACACUUUGUUGACCAAAGCAUUAUUUCAGAUCUCUGUAUUAGAAUUUCCACCACAUCACCAAAGUGAACACUGGAACAUUUGUGUGCUGUGACUGUUACCAGCAGGGUUCGUACACGUGCUUGAAAUCCUUGAAAAUGCUUGAAUUUUGUGUUUUCAAGGUUUGGAAAGUGCUUAAAUUUUGGAUAAAAUGCUUGAAAUUGUAACUGUAUUUCUUUCACAACAAAUACCGGUAACACUUUACAUGAAGGUAUCGACAUGAUCGUGACAUGACAUAAACGUUUAUGACUUCUAUCAUUAAGUGUCAUUUGGUUUUUCCUAAAAUGAAACCUGCUCGCUUGUGCAUGUGUGACUGCGAUCUGCCAGGUGUGACUCCGCCCCCAUGAAACCACUACUGCCCCAUACGAAUCCUACUACGGCCACGCCAAGACCCGCCCUUCAACAGCAGCCUGAUUGGUUGGAGUUAGGCAUUGACCUCGAGUGGUUACGGUUAGGAUAGCCGAUUGGUCAGGGGAUAGGACCUGAACCGAUUGGGUUACGUUACCUGGCGUAAGCAUGGACGCCUGGUCAAUAGUAGUGUGUGAAUGCUAUUGAAGGGCGGGUCUUGGCGUGGCCAUAGUAGGAUUCGGAAAUUUGCUGCCGGGAGGUUGUCGUUUCAAUGAACGUUGACUGGAAGAUGAAAAAUACAAAUUAUGGAUUAAACGGGGACAAACUGCAAAAAAAGACAAGCAGCUUUUCACAAUGGGCGAGUCUGUGCUCUCGAGUCACAUGAAGGGUAAGUCAUAGACUUCAAGUUAGCCAACUGAAGUAGCCUACUGUACACGUUAGCACCUAUUUGUUUACGCUAGUAACUGCUAGCUAGGAAUUUGCAGGCUAAGUGACUGAGAGUACUUGGUGUGAUAAUGUAAUGUUAGUAUUGCAUGUCCGUUAUGGCACGUUCAUUUGUGGAAUAUGCAGUGAACAUAGCCAAAGUUACAUCACAGUAACUGUAACGUUAACUACCCGCAAAUUAAAACCUGCAAACAUUAGCCCAGUGCAUAACAACAAUCGUUGAUUGCUGAACAGAAAUCGUGUCAGAUGGAGUGUUAUACAAGUAGCCUACUGUAAGGUUGAGGAAGGCCUUAUGCAAUAUUUGCACUGCUCUAUUCUAGUAGAUACAUGUAUAUGUCUUGGCAAUGAAAUACAUUUUUUUCCCAAUUAAUUAGGUGGUGCCUGUGCACUGUCAGAGUCUUCUGGGUUAAAAUGGAAUUACAUGGAAUUGUUGUUGCACUGUCUCAGAUUUUGUUCAAACCUUGUCUAUAUCAAGAAUGUGUCCCAAAAACCAAGGCCUGUAAAAUAUUUCUGUUCAAAUCCUAUGUCUUCAUAUUUUUAGCCCUUGAAAUUACUUCAGUUUUACAACCUGAAAAUCACAUUAUCUGGGAAGCAAUAUUUGGACAUUAAUAUAAUGAAAAGUAUUAUUCAGGUUAGAGAGAGAGACAGGUUAGAGAGAGAGGCAGGCAGCCCAAACUUUGUAGGGUGGAAGACAAAUGUGUCAAUAUGACUGAACCAUUACAAGUUUGUAUGGCAUGCCCUAGAUUUGGAAACAGUUUUCCUGGAUUUAGUCUGAUUUGACCCAGAAUGACCCAGCUGCAUGUCAUUUGGCUCAGAUCCUCCCACUCAGCGCUCCUCUCCAUAGCUGUCUUACUGUAUGUUAUGUUAUGACCCAUGACGAGAUUAAACAUUUUAAAGAUGAUAAUUCAGGGUUAGUGAAGUGAACCUGUCGAGUGAUUUUGUUUGGGGUAAUUGUUUUUACAUUGACUCAGGCAGGUUAGAUAGCAAGCAAGGUCUACUUAGAUAGUGAUACAUUUUGAAAAAUAAAACUUUUUUUUUGCUUAAGUAUCUGAUCCUUCUGCUAUUACGAAACACAAUUUUGGCUGUUUAAAGCAUUAUCUCUUUUAAUGUGAUAAAAACACUAAAUAAUAAUUUUGACUAUGUACUGUAUUGGUAUGUAAUUUACGGAGGUGUAAGGUGCUGGAAAAAGCUUUAAAAUGGACCUUGAAAGUG